CGGAUCCGCGCCGCUGCAGAGUUUGAUCCUGGCUCAGGACGAACGCUGGCGGCGUGCUUAACACAUGCAAGUCGAACGGAGAACCCCGGAUGAAAUUUUCGGAUGGAUUCUGGGAAUUCUCAGUGGCGGACGGGUGAGUAACGCGUGAGCAAUCUGCCUCAGAGAGGGGGACAACAGCUGGAAACGGCUGCUAAUACCGCAUAAGACCACACUACAGCAUUGUAGAGGGGUAAAAGGAGUGAUCCGCUUUGAGAUGAGCUCGCGUCCCAUUAGUUAGUUGGCGGGGUAACGGCCCACCAAGACGACGAUGGGUAGCCGACCUGAGAGGGUGAUCGGCCACACUGGAACUGAGACACGGUCCAGACUCCUACGGGAGGCAGCAGUGGGGAAUAUUGGGCAAUGGGCGAAAGCCUGACCCAGCAACGCCGCGUGAAGGAAGAAGGUCUUCGGAUUGUAAACAUCUGUCCUAUGGGACGAAGGAAGUGACGGUACCAUAGGAGGAAGCCCCGGCUAACUACGUGCCAGCAGCCGCGGUAAUACGUAGGGGGCGAGCGUUGUCCGGAAUUACUGGGCGUAAAGGGUGCGUAGGCGGAAUGUCAAGUCAGAUGUGAAAUACCCGGGCUUAACCCGGGGGCUGCAUUUGAAACUGACAUCCUUGAGUGCAGGAGAGGCAAGUGGAAUUCCUAGUGUAGCGGUGAAAUGCGUAGAUAUUAGGAGGAACACCGGUGGCGAARGCGACUUGCUGGACUGUAACUGACGCUGAGGCACGAAAGCGUGGGGAGCAAACAGGAUUAGAUACCCUGGUAGUCCACGCCGUAAACGAUGGAUACUAGGUGUGGGGUCCGAUAGGAUUCCGUGCCGCAGCAAACGCAAUAAGUAUCCCGCCUGGGGAGUACGAUCGCAAGGUUGAAACUCAAAGGAAUUGACGGGGGCCCGCACAAGCAGCGGAGCAUGUGGUUUAAUUCGAAGCAACGCGAAGAACCUUACCAAGGCUUGACAUCCCUUGACCGGUAUAGAGAUAUACCUUUCCCUUCGGGGACAAGGAGACAGGUGGUGCAUGGUUGUCGUCAGCUCGUGUCGUGAGAUGUUGGGUUAAGUCCCGCAACGAGCGCAACCCUUAUUGCUAGUUGCCAGCACGCGAUGGUGGGAACUCUAGCGAGACCGCCGGGGACAACUCGGAGGAAGGUGGGGACGACGUCAAAUCAUCAUGCCCCUUAUGUCUUGGGCUACACACGUGCUACAAUGGCCGGUACAGAGGGCAGCGACCCCGUGAGGGAGAGCGAAUCUCAAAAAGCCGGUCCCAGUUCGGAUUGUGGGCUGCAACCCGCCCACAUGAAGUCGGAGUUGCUAGUAAUCGCGAAUCAGCAUGUCGCGGUGAAUGCGUUCCCGGGCCUUGUACACACCGCCCGUCACACCACGGAAGUUGGGAGCACCCGAAGCCAGUGGCUUAACUGUAAAGAGAGAGCUGUCGAAGGUGAGAUCAAUGACUGGGGUGAAGUCGUAACAAGGUAA
rnacentral:rRNA from 1 species